rnacentral:rRNA from 1 species
AUUGAACGCUGGCGGCAGGCCUAACACAUGCAAGUCGAACGGUAACAGGAAGCAGCUUGCUGCUUCGCUGACGAGUGGCGGACGGGUGAGUAAUGUCUGGGAAGCUGCCUGAUGGAGGGGAUAACUACUGGAAACGGUAGCUAAUACCGCAUAAUGUCGCAAGACCAAAAGAGGGGGACCUUCGGGCCUCUUGCCAUCGGAUGUGCCCAGAUGGGAUUAGCUUGUUGGUGGGGUAACGGCUCACCAAGGCGACGAUCCCUAGCUGGUCUGAGAGGAUGACCAGCCACACUGGAACUGAGACACGGUCCAGACUCCUACGGGAGGCAGCAGUGGGGAAUAUUGCACAAUGGGCGCAAGCCUGAUGCAGCCAUGCCGCGUGUAUGAAGAAGGCC